GGGGGAAUUUUCCGCAAUGGGCGAAAGCCUGACGGAGCAAUACCGCGUGAGGGAGGAAGGUCCUUGGAUUGUAAACCUCUUUUAUCAGGGAAGAAGUUCUGACGGUACCUGAUGAAUAAGCAUCGGCUAACUCCGUGCCAGCAGCCGCGGUAAUACGGAGGAUGCAAGCGUUAUCCGGAAUUAUUGGGCGUAAAGCGUCCGUAGGUGGUUAUGCAAGUCUGCCGUUAAAGAAUGGAGCUUAACUCCAUAGGAGCGGUGGAAACUGCAAGACUAGAGUACAGUAGGGGUAGCAGGAAUUCCCAGUGUAGCGGUGAAAUGCGUAGAUAUUGGGAAGAACAUCGGUGGCGAAAGCGUGCUACUGGGCUAAACUGACACUGAGGGAUCGAAAGCUAGGGUAGCGAAAGGGAUUAGAUACCCCCUGUAGU
rnacentral:rRNA from 1 species